GACGAACGCUGGCGGCGUGCCUGACACAUGCAAGUCGAGCGAAGUGAGUACUACGGUACGAACUUAGCGGCGGACGGGUGAGUAACGCGUGGACAAUCUACCCUGUAGACUGGGAUAACACCUCGAAAGGGGUGCUAAUACCGGAUAAUGUCGAGAAGCGGCAUCGCCUUUCGAAGAAAGGAGAGAAUCCGCUAUAGGAGGAGUCCGCGUCCCAUUAGCUAGUUGGUGAGGGUAACGGCCCACCAAGGCGACGAUGGGUAGCCGGCCUGAGAGGGUGAACGGCCACACUGGAACUGAGACACGGUCCAGACUCCUACGGGAGGCAGCAGUGGGGAAUAUUGUGCAAUGGGGGAAACCCUGACACAGCAACGCCGCGUGAGCGAAGAAGGCCUUCGGGUUGUAAAGCUCAAUAGUAUGGGAAGAUAAUGACGGUACCAUACGAAAGCCCCGGCUAACUACGUGCCAGCCGCCGCCGUAAAAC
rnacentral:rRNA from 1 species